CUGUAUCCAAAGGUACUAACCUGCUUAGGAUUUAUAGAAUGUAAAUAAAUUCAAUUCAAUUCAAAUAUCAUGGAGGAAUUCAAGGGGACAGCAGCAGACCAUGAGCAGGACAUUUAGUUCCAUCAUGCAAGAAAUGUCAAAAUAAGAAAUUGGAAUGUUAAUCACUAUAUCAGCGAUUUCCAGCAUUCUCAAAUUUACAGUCCCAUGAAAGAGCUGUCGCUUUUAUGAGAACGUCUCUCACACUGUACAGUAUAAACAAUAAUUAAAAAAUCUGUUAGUAAACAGCACAACCAAUUAUUUAAAGCAUAAUUUCAUAUAGAAUUACAACUGAUGAGAUAUUCCCAAUGAACAUUCUGGAAUAAUAUGCAUGCAACUAAAAGGAAUUGAAAUGAAAAAAGUUGGUUGCAAAAUGAUAUUAAAUUUGUAAUACAUAUAUUGCUAAACAGUUUACAGAACACAAAUGAAGUCAUGGACCACUGCCAAAGUUAUGUAUGGCCUUGCGCCUUCAAACAUGAAAAAGUCAAAGGGUCAAACUCAACAUUCCUUUAUACAACUUCUAAAAUAACGGCUGACUGAGUUUCAUCAGAUUGGAGUGAUCGAAACAACACAGCAAAAUAGAUUGGGAGGCAGAAUCACUCAUUGCACUGCAGCUGUUUGAUUGCUGUCAGGCAACAUAUCUGUGCAGUUAUGCAACUUGGAUGUACACUGCAUUCUUGCCCACAAACAUCCACUUGCAAUCUAACAUGCCUUAGUAAUGUGUAGACAAUUCUCUUUGUCAAAAUAUGGUAUUUCACCAAAAUAACAUUGUUAUUUUAAAUGUUUCCUGUCAUGAAAAAGUGCUUGUGCAAUUAAUUAACAAUCUUAUAUAUCACUAUAUACUACAGCUUGUUGGGAUCCACUGUGCUGACCAUGCAAUGCCUUCUGUCUGCUAAAGUUGGCACUAACUUCACCGACAAGCGGCGGUCGCUAGGUCGGUAUAGUUUGCUUGCGGGCUACAAGCCACGGAGUCUAUUUUGUAUACCACAGCUUAGUCCUCUGUAGUCUUGAUAUGGAUAUGUCACCAUCCACUGUUCUACACUGCAACGAAGGCUAUUUGCUGGGAAAUGAGGUGCAGGAUAUGCGGGAGAGAGGUGGGAACGCAUGCACAAAGAAGGAAAAAAAAAAAAUGCAUGAAAUCUUUAUCACACGAUUUACAAAUUACAAUUAGACUGCUAUAAUACAGUGAUGUCAGUUUCUUGGGACUAGUUUCAUGGUUUAUUCUCAAUGUUACAAACAGCUUCUGGUAGACAGACCGUGACAGUGAGUUGCAGUUGAAUUAGAAGGUUGUGAGGCAGUUGUCAGCCAGUAAUGACAUGAGCAGUUGAGAGCUAGUGAAGACAGAAGACUUAGAAUGUGCUGUAGUGAGAAGUCUAGUGCGUGAGUUAGCUAGAUCAUUGUAAUUACUUGGAGUGUAGGUCUACAAGUUUUCAGGGAACUGAAUUACCAAUCCAAAAACUUGCAUCCAGUCACUUAAGCUUGACAGUACCAUUACAGAAGGAGCAGAAUGCCAGUCUGCUGUUGUGCAAGUAUGCCAUCAUGUCCUGCAAACAUGUUCCUUCCUGCACUAAUCGUAAAGAAUGCAGAAUUGAUUAUGAGUAGUGAUUGAUUUGGGGGAGAUAUGAUAACAUUGACAUAGAGGGGAAUGAACAGGUUUGAAAAGGAAAAAUUCACAGCUAUAAGGAGAUUUUUUUAAAAGAAGGUAUAUUGGAUAUAUUUAUUGCUGUGUGUUUUAAAUAGAUACAAUGUCUGUUGUUCUUGCAAUAAACACUGGCAGAUAGGAGUGAGACAUCUGCUUCCUAUUCUCUAUCAGCUGUUAGUUCCAAAAGACUGAAAUAGCUGAGAUCUGCGAGGAAAAUAACAUAAAAAAUGUUUUCACUCCCCUUCAAGGUAAUUGUAAUAUUGCCUAUCUCUGUUGUUACAUAUAGUUCAUAUUGCUUUAAGUUCCCAGAAUUCACAAAUGAAGGCUUUGCCUGCACAGUCUUAGUUCCCUGUCCAGUUUUCCUGUAAUGAGUAACGAAAACAGACAUGGCUGAGAUGAUCUUAGUUUCACUUGAUAUUGACAGUAUACUUCUUUUUCAUGCAGGUCCUGUAUGCCCCUAUGUUAGCGGAUGAUUUCUACAUCAAUCGUAUGGACUGGUCAUCACAAAAUUUAUUGGGCGUGGGCUUAGGAAGCUGUGCAUAUAUUUGGUCUGCCCGCAGUGAGCAAGUCACAGUGUUGUGUAAUUUAUCUGAACAUGGCUACCCUGUAAUCUCAGUUGCAUGGAAUGAGCAGGGAAAUUGCUAGCUGUGGGGACAGAUGAUGGUGGCAUGCAAAUCUGGGACACUGCAGCAAAGAAACCCAUUAAAAUGAUGGAAGGCCAGUCAGGACGAGUGGGUGCACUGGCGUGGAAUGGAGAUAUUGUAACAUCAGGGAGUUAUGAUGGGCUUAUCAUGGAAUGCGAUGUGAGAACGAUCAGCCUCGUUUUAGAAAGAAGAUCGAAAUUUCAUGAAAGAGAGCUAUUGCAUGGUCCCCACACCAUCAUGGGCUCUUGGCAACUGGUGGUGGUGGUGGUGGUGGUGGUGGUG